UAACCAGGGCAGCUCUACUGUAUAAACAGAUUGAUCUAGUGAUAAGAGAUGAUGGGGUAGGUUAUAUGAUCGAGGAAAGGCGAAUCUGAGCCCACUAUGCAAUAGAACUGUAGCUACCUCCCCUAGUGUGUGUAGUAUUGAAGGCAAUAAAUAACUUUUCAUGUUACUUUAAAAUUCAGAAAAGGUUAAUUCUUCCUUUGCUGGUUACUUAACCAUGAUUUUUGUUUUGCUUUGGUUCUGGUUGAGAUACUAAAGGUUGUUUAUUUAUGAAAAGAACAAACACUUGUAGUUUUGUAUGCCUCAGCUGUUGCUUAGGAUCCAGUGUUGUAGUGCUUUGCCUAAUUACAAAUAACUCUAAUCAAUAAUAGUGGUAUCAAUAAUAGUGGUUCUUUUCUUCUGAUUUGAACUGAGAGAGAGAGCCACUGAUUCUUGAUCUUAAGGUGACCCCAUUUUUCUAUGCCUCAUGCUCAUGCUGCUCUAUGUUCCCUUUUAAAAAUUCUUGCUUGCAUUUUGGGUUGGUUUCUGCUCUAUGUUCCCUUUUAGCGUUUCUUUCCGUUGUUGCUGCACUCCCUUUUGGGCGUUCAUUUCAUGCCCAGGAUCUUGCAAAUUGUGCCUGUGCCGAGCUUGCUUUAGAGUACGGGCUACGGAGACGUCGAGGACCUCAAGGUCACCGAUGUUGUGGAGCUGGGCGAGGUUUCCACGCAGUUCAUCGACCGCCUGUUCUUCCUGGAGAAGGCGAGCAAUCUUCAUCAAUCCAUCAAGCUAGAUCUUUGUCAUGCAUGGAGAUUGAUUGCAGACAGUCCUUUCUCUGCUGGUUACAAAUUCCAGGUCUAGAGAUGAUUUACUCUGCCAGGCGGCAGCACUCAAAGCACACAGGAUCCUGAACCUCAACAACAACCCCUACUUUUCUGGCCCUAAUGAUGCAACGGCCGUGAUGGCGUCGAGGCUCGGGCAUGUGGCCGUCGACGUGGAGCAGGCAGAGGAGAAGCGACUACUACCCCAACGGCAGCCUCUUCUCCCUUGUCCAUGGUACAUAUCAUUUGAUUUGCUGCCUCACGAUUUCCCUCGGCUGGCUUGCGUGUGCAGGUACUAAUCUUGGUGUGAGCUCAAGGUAAAAGGCGAAGCCUGAAGGUUGGCAAUCAUCAUUAGCUAGGUAGUUAUAGAUGGUCUGCUUACUUAGCAUAAUUUGGAAGUAUUAAAUACAGUACUCAAUAUUAGUUGUCUUUUGAAAAAUAUGCCAGUCUUGUUUGUCGCAUACAUAUUAUUAAUCUAGAAGAAACCAAGAGCAGACACUCACACUUUGGUCGAACCCACAUUUUAAACCUGGGAUAAGUAGAUAUUAGUUGUACUUAAUGGUUAUAAAUAUGUUUUUUCCCAAUAUCUGAAGUAUUGCGACGGAGCGAGAUAUCUGAAUACCACCAGCAAUUAUUAGUGUUUCUUGCACAAUUCAAAGAACUUAACAUUUAUCCUGAAAGUAAUCAUAAAUCAAUGGUAGAUAGAAUCACAACUAAUUAAAAUAACCUCGUGCUAUUUAUUUCUUAUAGUAUUGGAAGUUUUGUUAGCGUCCAUGCAUCUGCAUACCAAGAUGUGAUAUUUUCCAAUUGAAAGGUAGCAAUGUGUAAAAUUAAAUGAUUCCAUACAGUUAACUUCGGGGAUAGUCUAAUGGUUAUUUUAACUUAAUUGACUUGGUAAUUUAUGCACUUACCUCAUCUCAUCAUGCAAAUAUAACCCACGGUAUUGUACAGUGGUAGCCCAACUCCAUAUCACCUCGACCCCUCCUUCUCGACUUCUUCACGCAUGCACAGGUAAAGUGGCGGGUUGGCGCAAGUCUUUGAGCUGCGAUGCGGAGCACACUGCAGAGUGGCACGACGUACAAAGAGCUUUGCUGCUCGCAGGACCAGGAGUGCAGCAGCACGGGGGUGCUGGGAGAUGGACGCAGGCCAAGAAAAGGACCAUGACCGUACCAAGGAGGUGAUGAACACAACAAACAGCCGGUGUUCAGGGUCAAUAGCUUCUCAUGAUGGAGCACAAGGCCCUGUUGCAGUUAGCCCUGGAAAUGUUAGCUCUGUCGUCCGCGUCCAGGCCACCUUCUCUUAUUUGUCCCUUUCUCUCCGCUCCGUCCCUUUCCACUAGAUCCGACGCCCUUCCGGCUUGUCGUUGCCUUGUCGCCGUGACAAAGGAGCAACUGAAAACCAAAGGAGCCCCGCCUUUCCCGCAUGCACGUGCGCGAUGCGUCUCGCCGCCGCCAUCUUCGGUCCCCGUCCCCUGCUCCGCCUCCUCCGCCACGCCCCCCACCGCGAGCCCGCGUCAUCUGUCAUGGCCCACGCCACGAGAUCCGUCAUCCAAUGCGCGCUGUCACUCCUCCUUCUAUGCCCACUGCUGGUGCUCCCCCGUCGCUCCUCCUCCUCCAUCGUGAGGCGCUGCACUUGGCCGCAGUUCUACUCCAGGAUUUUCUAUUGGAUUGGUGACUGUUGUGAGCUGGUAAUAUGUCAUGCUCGGCCAUCCCGUUGCAGGUUGCCACCAAUGAGAAUACAGCCAGUGGACUGGUUUUGCUUGUCAGCAACCAAAACAAGAACAAGUCAAUUCUUAUCUGUACAUAUUCAAUUUGUGGAUGGUUGGAGGCUCUGUGUUCAUGGCUUAUAUGGGUCAUCUUUAUAUCUGGGCCAUGGUGGUUGUGAUUCAAAUGUUUAUGGAAACAAAGCUUUUUAACCUAUUGUAUGAUGUCUUAUAGUUUCAUGACGAUGUUGAACUCAAUGAUGUUUUGCUCCUAUUACAUGUGAAUAUUUCUUCUUCCUUUUAUUUUGUUGUAUCAUGUUUGAAUACGU